GAUGAACGCUGGCGGCGUGCCUAACACAUGCAAGUCGAACGGAACUUUUACGGAUUGAGACUUCGGUUGAUUGAGGUUUAAGUUUAGUGGCGGACGGGUGAGUAACGCGUGAGUAACCUGCCUUUCACAGGGGGAUAACGUUUGGAAACGAACGCUAAUACCGCAUAACGUAGCGGGGUCGCAUGGCUCUGCUACCAAAGAUUUUAUCGGUGAGAGAUGGACUCGCGUCCGAUUAGGUAGUUGGUGAGGUAACGGCCCACCAAGCCGACGAUCGGUAGCCGGACUGAGAGGUUGAACGGCCACAUUGGGACUGAGACACGGCCCAGACUCCUACGGGAGGCAGCAGUGGGGAAUAUUGGCACAAUGGGCGCAAGCCUGAUGCAGCAACGCCGCGUGAGGGAAGACGGUUUUCGGAUUGUAAACCUCUGUCUUUGGUGUACGAAGAAGUGACGGUAGCCAAGGAGGAAGCCACGGCUAACUACGUG
rnacentral:rRNA from 1 species